rnacentral:rRNA from 1 species
GAUGAACGCUGGCGGCGUGCCUAAUACAUGCAAGUCGAGCGAACAGACGAGGAGCUUGCUCCUCUGACGUUAGCGGCGGACGGGUGAGUAACACGUGGAUAACCUACCUAUAAGACUGGGAUAACUUCGGGAAACCGGAGCUAAUACCGGAUAAUAUAUUGAACCGCAUGGUUCAAUAGAGAAAGACGGUUUUGCUGUCACUUAUAGAUGGAUCCGCGCCGCAUUAGCUAGUUGGUAAGGUAACGGCUUACCAAGGCAACGAUGCGUAGCCGACCUGAGAGGGUGAUCGGCCACACUGGAACUGAGACACGGUCCAGACUCCUACGGGAGGCAGCAGUAGGGAAUCUUCCGCAAUGGGCGAAAGCCUGACGGAGCAGCGCCGCGUGAGUGAUGAAGGUCUUCGGAUCGUAAAACUCUGUUAUUAGGGAAGAACAAAUGUGUAAGUAACUAUGCACGUCUUGACGGUACCUAAUCAGAAAGCCACGGCUAACUACGUG